UUGCUGUUUGCAGAAUAUCAGAGUAAUGAAUUGAAGCCCUUCUGCUGUUGUAAUGUGUAUCUUCUCACUAUAUAAAAAUACCCCUGAAGCUCAGACGGCACAACAUUAGAUCUCAGAGUCAUGAUGGAUGUUUCUUCUCUUCAGAUCAACACAAGCGGUAACCAUGGAAGCGCUGUAUCACUGCUGUUCAUAAGCGCCACCUGCUGGCAGAGAAUCUGAAUAUAUUAUGAUUAUAGAAAUGAGAUAACAGAGAGAGAAAACUGCUGGAGCAUCAGAAACCAGAUAAGAAAAAAACAACAGGACAGAGAGAGAAAUGGAGGACGGAAAUGAGACACAAACCAGUGAAACACAAGAGAAAAACAGACAGAGACUUGUUAGAUGUAACAGUAUGGAUAAAAUAAACCCAAGCUUCUCUCGUGAUCCAGACGGACCUGUAAACUUUAAUUCUGGAGAAACUUCAGCAUGUUCUGAAGAACACACAACAUCCCUGAGACAGCAGCAGCUGAAGACAACACCAUCAUGAUCACAGACUCCAUCCAUCCACACUACAGUCUGCUCAGAUCUCAGGGACGUGCAGACAGGGGCAGUGGAAAAAAAGCACUUCUCAUAUUUACUUUAAUUUUAAAGAACCUUUAACAUCUGAAGAGCCUUUCUGUUUCACAAAAGCUUCUUUGUGGUGAAAGAAGGUUCUUCAGAUUAUAAAAAGGUAAGAAAGAGAUGGUUUUUCAAAGAACCUUUGACUGAAUGCUUCUUUGUGGAACCAAAAAUGGUUCUUCUAUGGCAUCGCAGGAACAUUUUAAGCACCUUUAUUUUUAAGAGUGUAGGCAACAACUAAAGAAACUAAGCCACAAUGUGCAUGUUUUCUAUGCUACUAGUUUAAUGUAUUUAGAAUAAAUGACUGCACAAAGGUGAGGGACAUAUUUUCACUAAUAAUUGGUUUAUUUUGCAGAAGACAAUAAAUUGUUUUAAUUCUUUUGGUGUUAUUGUAAUGUUUAUGCCCAUGAUAUAUAGCCUUAGCUAAACUUUAGCUAACUUAUGACAUGGUAGCUCAUAAGUCAUGGAUGCUAGCAAAACAAAUUAACUAUAUUUGCCUUUUGUCUUUUGUUCAUCAUCACUCACCUCCGCACCAAGACAAACAAACAUCAGUGUCUUCAGUUCACUGCACAACAGCUGCAGCUCGUCUGUAUGGACAAUAUAUCCAUCCACUAGACAACACAGACCUCUAUAUAAAGUCAAUCAUUGUAAAGAAUCAGUGACCAGACAUUACACCAGACUACAGAUUAGAUCCAGACUCUGAUGAACACAACACUGAGAAGAUGAUGCUGACCCUGAGAGGACUUCAGAUGACCCCAGCUCUCAACCAGCAGAAAAACUGACCAAUUCUCUCUGAAGCUGCUUUGAAACAAUAUACUGUCAUACAGAUAACAAAAACUAUUAGAAAUAAACCAGGUCUGUAUGUAUGUGAAGGAACUCAACAUUUCCAGAAUAAACAAAUGAACACAAUAAACAGACUCAAUGUUCCUCUUCUUGCAGUCAGAUAAAGUGCUGGAUUGACCUUUGACCCCUGUAAUACAGUCACGUGUCUCCCUCUACAGACGAUCAUCAGAAUCACAGCAGAAUUAAAGAUCUACAAAUAUAUCUGAAAGUAUUUUACAGCAACAGCAAUGAAAACACACGCACAGAUGCUGCAGUUUUCAUAUGCUACACACCUGGUUUUAUGUAGGCCCACCCACCUCAACAUUUCUGGCUACGCUAGUAGUGAUAUCAAGCAGAUCUCCAUCAUCUUCUAACUGAAGAUUAUGUGCAAAAUCAUGGCUCAGUCAUAAAUGCAUUACCUAGUUAUAAUAUGUUUUCUUCAUUUCAAAGCUACAAAAAAUAAAGUAAAAUGAUGCAAAUCUUUACAUCAUACAAAUGCAUUUUAAUCUAAGAGGAAAUAAGUUGAUACACUCAUACUAUGUAGAACAUGGCUGUGAAGUAAUUUUUGGCUGUGUAGUAAUUAUUAUUUAUGUAUCUACUCAGUGAAUAUCUGAUUUCAGACGCAGUCAUAUUUGUUUGUAGAGUUUCAGAUCUCAGUCUAAAGGUUAAAUUUGCGACACAGAGCUGAAGAUGUAAAUGUGUGAAACACACCUGAUUCACA